UUUUGCAAACCAUUGUUAAAUUUGACUUUUGUUGAGUAUUAUUGAGUGCUUGUAGGAGAAAUUGGUAUGGCUAAUUUAGUUAUUCUGAGCACAAGGCUCACAAUUAUUGACACCAACCGUAUUUGGGGUAGGAAGCAGUAUUUGUGAAUUAUAUCAUGCAUAAUGAAAGCGGAAAUUUUGUGUAUUUUAUUAAUAUGUUUAGCAUUUUUUAAAAAUUAUUACUAUUGCUGCCUACAUGUAACAAGUAUUGAUGUACUUCCUCUGUGAUAAACUCAAUGCCAUAUUAUAUAUAACAACAUCUGCUGAGGAACAAUAUACAUUUUUAUGCCUUUGUGUGUCAGCAAGGAAUAUGAAUAUAAACUCAUUUUUUCUACAUGAUCCACACAUAUUAGAGAAUCUACAGUGUAACCCAAAUAAGUUGACAGUAUUUACACUGAAUUGCUUUGUUUAUCAGAUUUACAACUUCUUUGAGAAAUUAUGACCAUCAGUUAACCUUCCAGACUUAAUGUCAAUAAUACAUUAUAAGUUUUAUAGUAAUAGUUUACGUUUGCUUUUGUUAAAGCCAACAGCUUUGAUGAUGGGGACUGCGCUGUAUCAAAUAUUUUUGUGUUUGUCUUUUUACUUUUAUUUUGUUCCGUCCUUGAUUGUUAUCUGUGAUAAUUAUGUUAUAUUUUUAUUCAAUUUAUAGAAUGACUAGACAACAUUUAACAAAUUUUAUUUUUGCUAAUUUUGAUAGAUUACAUAUUUAUACCAAGAGCUUAUUAAAUAUGUAGAAAU
rnacentral:sRNA from 1 species